AGUUUUCUGUGUAUACAGCAUGAGGCAAAUCCAGACAGUGGGAAUUCAACGGGAGCUGUGUUUGCUGUUCAUCUGCUAGAGGACAGGAGGGUUGGGGCCUGACAUGACACACCCCAUCUCCAUCAGCUUCCCCGCCAGGGCUAAGAUCCACAGGGGGAUGCUCUGAGUCUCAUUUGGAUCUGCCAGCUCUUGCUCCCUUUUGCACGGAUCUUUAAAUAUGGAGAAUAGUCCCAAGAAUCAAAACUGCCCUGUGUUCUCAGAGGACGGGCCAGAGAAUCGAGAAGGCCCUGUGUUCCCAGAGGACGGGCCAGAGAAUCGGGAAGAUCCAGUUUCCUCCAAGAAAGGAAAUGCUGCAG